CAGGAGAGUGAGGGAGAUGUUCAUCAAGCAGUCUUUCACCUGAGGAGACCUAAUCAGGUAGAAUAGUCAAAAUCACCUGUGUGCGUUUACCGUCUCUUGGAUUUUUCCCUCAUUAUAUGAAGUAUUAUGACAAAUACGUUUUGCACUCCCAAGUCUGCAGAUUGUGCAACAAAGCAAUAACACCAGUGUCUUGCUGUCACUGCAAACUAAUGAAUCUAAAGUGCUUUAGGAUUGCUUAUGUUAAUUUGCUUCUGACGCCGUGCAAAGAACAUUAAUUGAAUGGGUAUGUUUACUUUUAUGUACGUACUAGUUGUUCUGAAUUGCAUGAGAGAUGCUGAUUUUAUUGCACUGGCAUAAGACAUGACCCAUAUGAGAUGGCACGGACUUGAAAUAUGAAUAUAAUAAGAAUGUAGAACUUCUCAGAGCUAAUGUAUAAAUCCAAUUAUUGUAGAAUACACAUUGAUUAUUUGGGAACACAAAGAAGACAAAAACUGCCCUGAUAAAUAAGUAAAAUCCACGUUGAUAACUCAUAUCCUUCAUUCUCACUGAGUGAUUUUAUUUUCACAGAGAAACUUUAAAAUGCAAAAAGGCUGCGGAAGAGGAACUUGAGAAUAAGAAGUCAGGAGUCUGGGGAGGUUUAUGGAUAUUUGAAGUCCUUUCUGAUUAUACAUUUCUGACUGCAUAUGAAAAAGGACUUCUCGAUUCAGUGUCACUCAAAACAUAUUUUGGUAUCUUGAAACGGUUGAACAGUGUGUAGGGAUAGAUGCUGAUAUAGCUGUUCAUUAAAUAUAACUCUAAUAGCUCAAAUGAAGAGUCUGCCCAUUGAAUUCAAAUGUCAGCCCUCUGCGUUUAUGCAUUGACAGAGGGAACACUUGUAUUGAUGCUGCUGCAAGCUGAGUAAAUGCAUUAAAUUUGUAUUAUUGUGCCAUUCACACAAAGUGUUCAGUUAUGAAUGUGGAUUAGAAGUUGAUGCAAAGUGCAGAAAUAUUUAAAGUAAUUCUUCACUGUUGUCAGUUUGUUCGAUUAGCAGGAAUUUCUCAGAAGAAUUUUUACCCCCAAUCCCCAGUUCUUCCCAGUAUCAUGUAAUGUUAAUCACUGAUGAUUUGCGUGCAUUAUCUGCUUCAGACUUGAUGGAUAUUAACUGAUAUCUGAUCAGAAUUCAUGGCAGCAACCAGUACAGAGUGGUCACAGACUGUGGGUUCGCUUAACGCCAGCAUCCCUGCUUGAGCGCUGCAGGGCUCUGUGGCUCUCUUCGCUCUGCGUGGUGUCUAUUGAACACCAGCAAUCAAUACGAUUUGCACAGUUCCGUGAGCGCCUCUAUCCACCCGAAUACCCUCAGGAAGAGAGCUUUUAGGCUUUUCGUGCGUUUUUACGCAGCGCAAUGGCCAACCCCCCCCAAAACGUUAUACAUUGGCUGCAGAGAAUGUAACCUUUCAAGUUUAGACAACACUAAAAUCCCAUGACUGAUUUAUUGUUUUCAAGUUUUUGCUAUCUUACCAAAACAACAUUUUCUACAAAAAGUAAUUGCAUUUUUACGCAGCGUUCCGUUGGAUAACUGGAGAUCUGACAGAAACACAAUAAAAGAGCUCGAAAGGAGCGGGUCAAUAAAUUAUGUUAAUCAGUCAGAACAGAUUGGAGGCGUGUUGUAGCCGUAAUGAGGGGGAGCAUGCCUGCGCCGCGGAGGAAAAAGCUCCGAGUAUUAACGCCGUCUCCACUACAUGCGCGCUGCCUUCGAUUUCCCCAGCCUCUCUUUCUACUUUAUUGUGCAUAAUAGCAAUUUCCUCUGUAGUAGACUAGGCUACUGUGCAGCGGGCUCGGUGCAACAAGUUUGCAGGAGCCGUCAGUGCAGGUUGACUUGACUUGCCUUGGCUGGAGCAGAGUGGUGCUCCACUCCUCUCAUCUAUCUGUCGCUGCCCACACGAAGUCACUGUACGUGAACGCCGCGUCGCAGGCAAGCAGGCACAUUCACACGCGCAAAACAGUGUGCCACAAAUCCGUGACUCCGCGCCAGAUGCAGUUUGCGCCCAACAAGCGCGUGCAGUUGUAGUUAAAUGGAGAUCGCGGAGGCAAGAGGAGCAUCUAAGUGCGUGGAAAAGAUGGAGAAAGAAGUGACCCCUCAGAAGCGACAAUAUUGCCGCACGACAGUGCUGAACGCAAUCUCGUCUUUAUGCUCAGUGGCGUCCAUCGCCUUUUGCAUUCUUCUGAGCAUUAACUCAGCUGAUCUUAAGAACCGGGUUGUGGACUUGGAGGGGGGGAAUGGCGAGCACACCUUUAUCCGUGCUCCUGGCUACUCCAUGGAUGAUUUUAAUUCAUUGAUUGAACACAGAGUGGGUGAGCUGCUCUCUCAGCGCUCCUAUGAACAUUUUGUCAAGAUUCGGACUGCACGACAAGCAUCACCUGAAUGCAACUGCCCUCCAGGACCUCCGGGAAAGCGAGGAAGAAGAGGCCGAAAUGGAGAGCCUGGACCUCCUGGCCCUCCAGGUACCAAGGGUGAAAAGGGGGAUCAAGGCGACCAGGGACCACGGAUGGUCUUCCCUAAGAUCAGUCAUGGCUUUCUUUCUGCUGACCAGCAGCUCAUAAAGCGACGGCUCAUUAAGGGAGAUCAAGGGCAAGCUGGACCACCUGGGCCACCUGGGCCACCCGGACCUCCUGGGCCGAGGGGGCCUCCAGGGGACACUGGGAAAGAUGGACCCAGAGGUGUACCCGGUUUGGCAGGUGAUCCAGGGCUGUCUGGAGAAACAGGAAUCAUGGGACCUGAAGGGCCACAAGGGGAGAAGGGUUUCCUCGGGCCUCCGGGCAACCCAGGUGUUGAUGGACUGAAGGGGGAUGUUGGCAUCCCAGGAUUGGACGGUGUCCCUGGAGCCAAGGGUGAAAUGGGAGAGCACGGUGAAAAGGGCGAUAUGGGGGAAGAUGGACCGAAAGGUGAUAUAGGGGAGAAGGGAGAUGCAGGCUCCUCUGCAGCGGGCAUCAAGGGUGAACCUGGAGAGUCUGGACGAAGUGGACUAAAGGGAGAGCCAGGACUUCCAGGGCUGCCUGGACUCCCAGGGAUAAAGGGUGAGACUGGAUUCCUCGGCCCCCAGGGAGAGCCAGGGCUUCCAGGACUUCCAGGAACGAAGGGAGAGAGAGGCGACCACGGGCCGCAAGGAAAGGGUGAAAGAGGAGAACUUGGACCCCUUGGACCAAAGGGUUCACAAGGAGAGCCUGGUACACCCGGUCUGAAAGGCUCAAAGGGGGAGACUGGAAACGAAGGAGAAAUUGGAUCUUUUGGCCCAAAGGGCCCCCCUGGACAGAAAGGAGACCAAGGAUCCACUGAAAUCAUUGACUACAAUGGAAACAUUCAGGAGGCUUUACAGAAGAUUACCACAAUUACAGUAACGGGUCCUCCUGGACCUCCUGGGCCGAUCGGACCGGCGGGUAUCAAGGGAGAUCGUGGUAUGCCUGGUCUGCCUGGACUCGAUGGUGAAAGAGGCUACAAAGGUUCCAAGGGAGACAUGGGAAUGCCUGGAGCUUCAGGAGAGAAAGGAACAACCGGUUUACUCGGCCUACCUGGUGUCAAUGGGGUAAAAGGGGACAGGGGAGAUUCAGGUCUGUCUGGUCCUCAAGGUUCUUCAAUCGUCGGCACUCCAGGGUCACCAGGGCCCCAUGGACCCCCGGGACCCAUGGGCCCCCAUGGUUUCUCUGGACCAAAGGGGGAACCUGGUUCGCAUGGUGUGAAGGGUAUUCGAGGAGAAUUGGGACACAAAGGGGAUCGUGGACCAUUGGGUCUCCCGGGAGCCUCCGGCUUGGACGGCAAGCCCGGAAUUAGGGGCACGGAUGGGCCUACGGGUCUGGCCGGUCCAGCUGGGCCAAAGGGUGACAUAGGUGAGAGAGGAGCAUCAGGUGAACCAGGACCAAGGGGACCUUAUGGACUUCCUGGAGCUGCUGGAACACCUGGCUUGGAUGGUUUCCGGGGAUUUAAGGGUGAAAAGGGGGAACCAGGUCAGCCAGGUCUGGACGGGCUGGAUGCCCCGUGCCAAUUGGUACAGUAUUUCUCUUUUUCCUCCACCUCUUACCCAUGCAUGCCCCUCACCUUCAGCGAAACAAAACCAUGCAUGACUUCAGAGCUUGACAGGCAUGAACACACCUUAUUUUAAUCACAACUACAUUUUCCAUCUAGUGUUAAAAAACAAAACAAACAUGCACCAACAUUUACCUUAAUAUACUAACUUUUUGACCGCAAGCAGCCUCUUUUAGAUAAUACACAUCAUUACUCGUGAAAUACACAAAAUAAACUUAUCACUAUUGAUAUACUUGAUACUUAAAUCUAUCCUUCUAACUGAAUCCUUCCUUUCUCUUGAUUAAAACUGGAACAAAACAAAUCCUGUUUCCUUCCUGCUGAUUCCCUUCAUGGACUAGUUACCUUUUAACCUGAUGCUAACACAGAUUCCUUUACUAGUCCCCAUGGACCACUCUUCUACUCCCCCUUUCCCCUUCCUGUAGUUGUACCAAUUGGGCCAGACCAUGACGAUAAGGGGCCAGAAAAUGACAACAAGGGAACAACAAUAGAUUAAACUGAUUAUUGCUCCAGACCUAUUCAAGAUGACCACAUUUUAAGAAAUGUCAUGCUUUGUGUUUCUGAAACAAUGAUGUGUAAUGCAUGGAAGUUCUUACAUUAUGGGUGGAACUAUUAGUGGUUAAAGUAGACUAACUCAUUUUAAAAGGCCAUUGUGAUUGUGUACUGUGUGUAGACAAGGAAAUGAGGUAUAGUAGGUAAGAAACCAUCUCAUAUCACAAAUGUCAUCUUAUUGAAUUACAUCUACACCAGCUGCAAUAACUUUAUUUUCAGAUAAAUCCCCUGAUUUUGUCAUAUUGUCCUCAAAUCCAGCUUGUUAUGGUUUUGCAACUCAACUGAGGGGCGACUAUAAUAAAAUCAGAGGGCAGAAUCAUCAACAUAUAGAUGUGCAUGAGCUAUAUUUUGCUGUGUGUUACGCGCAUGAAUAAGAAUACACUUUUGCAGUUGUCAUUACAUGCAAUAUGAUUUUAUCACAGCGCUCAGAGAAAAUGUGUUGUCUGCAUUAAUGAUUAAGACGACAUACAAGACAAGCAGCGUCAUAUUGACAUUUGUGUAGCUCCAGGAUGGUACAGCAUUACUGUAGGUUAAGUUCCUGUUACGUAAAGAUCCUAUGAAGAGGUUCAUUUCAGUUUGCUUGCGGUAUCUUCCGCGUGUGAUUUGGGCUUAUUGUUUGGAGGCUUCUGUUAACAACAAACCUCCCAUUCCUCUUUCAGUCCUCAUGGUUUUUUUUCCCUCCCUGCUCCUUUCUCUAAACAGGGCCCAGAUGGAUUACCAAUGCCUGGAUGCUGGCAGAAGUGAUCGCUCUAACCUGAAACGCAUGGAGUUUGUAAAUAAUGCUUCUUUUAUGGUAUUUAUAGUUUUUUUUAAUGGGAAAAAAAAAUGUGUAAAAGAAAAGAAGUCUAUGUGUACAAUGAAACAAAAAGAGAUAACCGUCUCACGCUCUAAGCUGCUUCUACUCACAUCACCUUGUGGGGAAAAAAAAAAAAAAGACGUGUGUCCGCUUUCUCACAUCCACAUCGUGGUGGAGUUCACAUCCUUGGCUGGCGGCAGAACUUGUCUCUGUAGUCUUUGCAUGGCUCGGACUGGAGCUUCACGGCCCGGCCAGAUUCACAAAGGGUGAAAGGAGACGAGGAGGAGGAUGAAGUGGAGGAGGAGGGAGGGAUCUGGACUGGCUCUCUAACACCAAACGCUAGGUGUUCUGUGUUGUUUGGUGUCAACAAGCUCACCGCUCAUUCAUACAGCACCAUUUUCUAAAAGACGAAAAAAAACUGUGCCAAAUAGAACAUUGCAACCCUGACCCUGCAAAAGCAUGAGUAGUACUGAAACUAUAUUUAUAUGUAUUGUACAUACAUGUCACUGUUUUGUGGUUGCAUCACGGCUUCUGCAGAGAGGAAAAACAACACUAACAUAAAAAAACAACAACCCCAGAGCUCUAAAUUAGUAAAUUCUGCUUUCCUUUAAUCUUCCCAAGGGAGUCACGCCAUGGCUGGUAGCCUGAAAAUCCCCCAGAAAGUAAAGCUGUUGGUUAUUGUUGCUUUAUUGUGGUGAUGCCUGCAGAGGGUAUGAUAUCAGCAGGUCUUCACUGUUGCACUCAUGUGGCUGAGCAUCAUCAUCAUCAUCGGUGUUGGGCCUCCCACACCCACGUGUCUCCGGACAAGAGGGGAGAACUUAGCAGGCUCGCUGCACUGUUGGGGAAAAUAAAUCAGGCUCGCAUGGAUUUGAGAUUGGACAGGCCUGCCAUGGACCCUCUCGGGGCCCGCCAAUGGAUUCUGCAGGAGAGUCGCUAAGAGUCUCAUCGAUCUCCGUGGAGAUCAGCCGGGAGCGUCUGCCUCAGCAAACAGGCAGCUUCACGAUCUACUGAGAGCGUUAACAGAAUGCGAUCAUGUUUAUUUCUUUUUUUUCUUCUCAUUCUUUAACAUUGUUUGUGUUUUGUGUAUGAUAGCCUUUGGUGCCUCAAGCUUUUAUUCAUUCCUUUAUCAGAAAUGUACAACUUUAUAUCAUAUUUUCAAUUAUUAGAAUGGUGUUUAUUUCAGGAGGGUAUAAGCUAAGUUUGGUUUAAAAAAAAAAAAAAGUUAAAAAAAAGUGAGUUGUUAGAGUAUUGAAAGGACACACACGUCGCGCACUGUUUUUCAUUUGAAUCAUUUUUUUAUACAAUGUUGAAAUAGCAUUACAGCUUCACCUGAGCGUGCAGUAUGAAGACUGCAUCCAUCUCAACUGCCUCUGAUCUUACUCAUGGGUUUUUGAAGAAGCUCAUAUUGUUUGCUCAAAACACAUCCAGCGUUGUAACAAAUAUGCUAACUUGUUCAUUCUGGACUUGUUGUAUGGAAUGAUAGUUGUACAGUGUUGUCAGUACACUGCAUGUACACCAUUUAUUACUUCUGGAUUUCUUAAAUAUUGAAAACCAGUAUUGAUUUGAGCGAGUGUUAAAGAAAGCAUUAACCAUUGUUUCAGCGUUGGGGUUCAUUUAGCUCGAACGGAGCAACAAUCGGAUUAAGCCGAACAUACUGUUGCUGGUAUUUUAUGAGGCAGAUCACGUUGAACAGAACUAUUUCAGUUGCGUUACGCUGCUCUUUUACACCUCAUGUAUUGUCUUAAAAACAUAUGGAAAACAUGUAUCACAGUGCAAAAAAAAAAAGCUAAAUUUGACAGUUAAUUGGUCAACUACCAUUAAUACACCGCAGUCUAACUGGUGGCCAUUUAUGUCACAUUCCAUAUCAGAUGGAGCAAGAAAUGCAGCAAUAGGUUUAUUUUUCAACAUAGUUUAUCCAUCUUUUUCAUAUUUCUUCAUUUCAAAUUGCCUUCUGACAUAGUAGGUGCUAUGCAAGGUGAUACUCACAGUACUUCUUUUCUUCAACAUUAGAAAUAUGCAUGGAUGAGUUGCUGUCAGGGCAGAUGUCAAACACCAACAUUUUGUUGUGAUGUAGCAGCAACCACAGGUGGAUUCAAGAGGAUUUAUUCCCAUGUGGUUUCUGUUUGAUUGUACAGUUCAUCUCAUCGUUCUCAAGAUUGGAUGCACGUAGAUUAUAAUGGUGCUAUCUGAUAGCAGGUCAACAACAGCUCAGUUGAUGCGCUCUACCAGUGGCAAGAACUACACGACAGGUUUCUUUAUUAUUGUUGGGGUUUUAUGUAUGUAACAAUUUUUUCUGCGCAUACAUUUGCGUAUUUGUCUCAAUAUUUUACUUGCAGGUAAUUAUUUAUUUUUGUAUAACUUCCUAAAUGAAGGCAUUUUGGUUCUAAACGGCAUUCCUUUCAGUUGUUUUGGCUUUUGGCAUCAGUUUCCGCUGUGUCGCUCUUGACAUUAUGAAGGAUUUUGGAUCAUCCUCAGGCAUCAUGUAAUAGUUUUGCAAAUGGAUCGGUGUGAAGGAAGUUGGUCAUUUACAAAAAAAAACAACAGACCAGUGUGUAUUCACUGUGCAUUUAAUUCAGACUAUAGGCCUUACAGUGGUUUGUCUAUUUAAUUUAAUUUUGUGUGUCAAAAAGCUCACUAUGACAACAAAGUACUGAUGGCCUGAGCGUUGACAGGCCCAGCCAAUGCACCGCACAAAGUUCAAUACCACAGCUUUUUCUCACGCUUCCUCUUUUCUCUCUCUCUUUGCAUUGAAUGUAGUUUGAUAUAUGUAUAGUGGAUUAUUAAUGUACUGUUAAACUGUGUGCUCAUUUGACAACAAGUGCAAUUUAUACUUUGGUUAAUGUGUGGAGCAUCAAAUGCAGCUGAACGAUCACGUCAUUGUGAUUUCUAAUCGCUCCAUUUGUUCAGUCCUGCUACCCUGUACACCACUACCUGGUUUAUUUACCAGAAGACAAAGAAACAAAUGUAAACAUGGACCUUUCAUUAAAUCUACAUUCUUGAUUGGUUUAAAUAUUUCCUCAAAUUCUGUCUCCUCUCUCGUGUUUCAAAGUGUUACUUCCAUUACUUAAUAUCUACUAAAUCUUUGCAAUGUGUUUAUUUUUUUUAAUUUUCUGUUUUGAUUUCCAGCCUUUUGUUACAGUAUUUGUUCUCACAAACUGUACCUUUAGCAUGUGCAGCUAAUUUUCUAUUGAUUUUUUUUAUUUUGUUUGUUUGAUUGUUGUCUUUCCUUGUUCACUAUUAAAAUUGAGUUUAUUCUGCUAA